rnacentral:rRNA from 1 species
CCUACGGGAGGCAGCAGUGAGGAAUUUUCCGCAAUGGGCGAAAGCCUGACGGAGCAAUACCGCGUGAGGGAUGAAGGAUUUUGGUCUGUAAACCUCUUUUCUCAAGAAAGAAGUUCUGACGGUACUUGAGGAAUAAGCAUCGGCUAACUCCGUGCCAGCAGCCGCGGUAAUACGGGGGAUGCAAGCGUUAUCCGGAAUGAUUGGGCGUAAAGCGCCUGUAGGUUGUUUAUUAAGUCCGUUGUUAAAGCCUAGGGCUUAACCCUAGAAAAGCAAUGGAAACUAGUAGACUAGAGUAUGGCAGGGGUAGAGGGAAUUUCUAGUGUAGCGGUGAAAUGCGUAGAUAUUAGAAAGAACACCGGUGGCGAAAGCGCUCUACUGGACCGUUACUGACACUCAGAGGCGAAAGCUAGGGUAGCAAAAGGGAUUAGAUACCCCUGUAGUCCUAGCCGUAAACGAUGGAUACUAGAUGUUGUGCAUUAUGUACAGUAUCGUAGCUAACGCGUUAAGUAUCCCGCCUGGGGAGUACGCUCGCAAGGGUGAAACUCAAAGGAAUUGACGG